GUCGGGAUAGCUCAGNUUGGUA
rnacentral:tRNA from 1 species